rnacentral:lncRNA from 1 species
GGUGAUUAUAUUUUUGGAAAGCACACAGCUGACUUNGAAGCAUCACNGUGUUUGUCAAUUUNAUUUCUUUUCUUUUUGAAAUGCUUNUUACGGUGNUUUCAUNGGUUGAAUGGAGUUACACGGUUCAUUUCAAUUUAAGCUGGAGGUGGCACAAAUUAUGGAAAGCACACAGCUGAUUUUUUUUUUAGAAGUAUCUUACCCUUUUUUUCUAGAAUGAAGUAGUUUAUUCCUAAAUUUUAUUUUCAAUGUCAUGUGUUAUUUUU